GACCGCUUCUGUGGCCUAGUGGUUAAAGCGUUUGCCUUGGAUGUGGGAGGUCAUGGGUUCGAACCACAGUAAAGUCA